CACAUUUAUGGUUAGCAACCACCUGAAACCUAUUUUACUGUUAUUUUUUCAAGCUUGUCUGUUCUUUUUAUAUGUGCGUCUCAUGUAUCUGUAUAUAUUUUGGAGAUGGGUGAGCUUGGAACAGCUUGUAUAAAUUCUCAAGUACCAUUAAGCUUCUAAUAAGUGAGAUAACGGUGUACAGUUUUGAAGCUGGAUGGACUUAUUUUAGUACACCUAACUUUGGCAGACUUGAGGUGGUCAUAGUUCGAGAGUUUGCCUGACUGAUAUGGAAGCAAAUGGUAUGAUGAAAUGUAAAUCUCCUGAAGGAGUUUACAUUCGUAUCAGAUUUAGGGUUUUGGAGAGUGGAUUUUAGUUUUGAAGAUAUGACAGUCAAUCUUGAUAUGCUCCACCUGCUAGUGGCAACUUACUAAACCCUUUAUUUAUCAUAUACCAUAAUUUUGAUCAUCCAGUCACACUUCUUAUUAACUCCUGUCAUUACAUUAACAUGACAGACAUACAUUGUCAGAUAUGUAAAACUAUAAAUAUCUAAGUUCAGGUAUUUGAAACCACAUGCUGUAUUAUCCUGAGUUAUAAAUUCACUGUCCCCA
rnacentral:lncRNA from 1 species